rnacentral:rRNA from 1 species
UACGGGGGGUGCGAGCGUUGUCCGGAAUCACUGGGCGUAAAGGGCGCGUAGGUGGCGUCGUAAGUCUGUGGUGAAAGCCCGGAGCUCAACUCCGGGUCUGCCGCGGAUACGGGCAGGCUAGAGGUAGGUAGGGGAGAAUGGAAUUCCCGGUGUAGCGGUGAAAUGCGCAGAUAUCGGGAGGAACACCCGUGGCGAAGGCGGCUCUCUGGGACGGUACUGACGCUGAGACGCGAAAGCGUGGGGAGCGAACAGG